rnacentral:lncRNA from 1 species
ACUGGUUUCUUUAAUGGCCAUGAAAAUAUUCUAGAAUUAAAUAGAGGCGAUGGGUGCGUAACCUUGGGAAUACACUAAAAACUACUAAAUUGCAUGUUUCGAAAUGAUGAAUUUUAUGGCAUGUGAAUUAUAUCUCAAUUUAAAAAUAAACCUACUGUGACAAUCACUCAAAAUGCUAUUAAAGAACUUUGCAUUUGAGAAAAUAAGUGAGACUAUACAUUUAAAAUAACUCAAAAGGCAACGACAGCAUAAUUCCCCUGUAAGUUGUAGGAGGAGUAAAAGCA